UGGGGAAUAUUGCACAAUGGGCGAAAGCCUGAUGCAGCGACGCCGCGUGAGGGAUGACGGCCUUCGGGUUGUAAACCUCUUUCAGUAGGGACGAAGCGCAAGUGACGGUACCUGCAGAAGAAGCACCGGCUAACUACGUGCCAGCAGCCGCGGUAAUACGUAGGGUGCGAGCGUUGUCCGGAAUUACUGGGCGUAAAGAGCUCGUAGGCGGUUUGUCACGUCGCCUGUGAAAUCCUAGGGCUUAACCCUGGACGUGCAGGCGAUACGGGCUGACUUGAGUACUACAGGGGAGACUGGAAUUUCUGGUGUAGCGGUGGAAUGCACAGAUAUCAGGAAGAACACCGAUGGCGAAGGCAGGUCUCUGGGUAGUAACUGACGCUGAGGAGCGAAAGCAUGGGUAGCGAACAGG
rnacentral:rRNA from 1 species